UCUAUGUAAUACUACAGGAUAACUGUAGUAUUCUAGAGCUAAUACAUGCCACUAUGCCCUGACCCGCAAGGGAACGGGUGGAUUUAUUAGAACAGAACCAACCGGUUGUGGUUUCGGCCGCAGCUGUUGCAUUCUGUGAUGACUCUGGAUAACUUCACUGAUCGCAGUCGGCCUUGUGUCGGCGACGGAUCUUUCAAAUGUCUGCCUUAUCAAUUUACGAUGGUAGGUGAUCUGCCUACCAUGGUGAUAACGGGUAACGGGGAAUCAGGGUUCGAUUCCGGAGAGGGAGCCUGAGAAACGGCUACCACUUCCAAGGAAGGCAGCAGGCGCGCAAAUUACCCAAUCCCGGCACGGGGAGGUAGUGACGAAAAAUACGGAUACGGGACUCGUAUGAGGCUCCGUAAUUCGAAUGAGUACAAUUUAAAUCCUUUAACGAGGAUCAACUGGAGGGCAAGUCUGGUGCCAGCAGCCGCGGUAACUCCAGCUCCAGAAGCGUAUAUUAAAGUUGUUGCAGUUAAAAAGCUCGUAGUUGGAUCUGGGUCGUAUGGCUAUGUACUGUUGCUUGUUACAUUGGCUUGGUUUCGAUCAGGUCCAGUGUUGCGAGUCAGUGUCGUGGCUGUACAGCCUUUUUGCCGUGUCUGUUUCGGACAGGUACCGGCUUAAUCGGUGAGCUUGUCUUGCUGGUUGGCUGGUAUGCUCCCAGAUGCCUUUGAACGGGUGUCGGGGGCGGACGGUGCUUUUACUUUGAACAAAUUUGAGUGCUCAAAGCAGGCUUUUGCCUGAAAAUUCUUGCAUGGAAUAAUGGAAUAGGACUUCGGUUCUAUUUUGUUGGUUUUCGGAUCCGAAGUAAUGGUUAAGAGGGACAGACGGGGGCAUUUGUAUGGCGGUGUUAGAGGUGAAAUUCUUGGAUCGCCGCCAGACAAACUACAGCGAAAGCAUUUGCCAAGGAUGUUUUCAUUGAUCUGGAGCGAAAGUCAGAGGUUCGAAGACGAUCAGAUACCGUCCUAGUUCUGACCAUAAACGAUGCCAACUGACGAUCCGUGGCGGCUCAAUUAAUGGCUCCACGGGCAGUCCCCGGGAAACCUUUAAGUCUUGGGCUCCGGGGAA
rnacentral:rRNA from 1 species